GAUGAACGCUGGCGGCGUGCCUAAUACAUGCAAGUCGAGCGAACGGACGAGAAGCUUGUUCUUCUGAUGUUAGCGGCGGACGGGUGAGUAACACGUGGAGAACCUACCUAUAAGACUGGGAUAACUUCGGGAAACCGGAGCUAAUACCGCAUAAUAUUUUUAACCGCAUGGUUCAAGAGUGAAAGACGGUCUUGCUGUCACUUAUAGAUGGAUCCGCGCUGUAUUAGCUAGUUGGUAAGGUAACGGCUUACCAAGGCAACGAUGCAUAGCCGACCUGAGAGGGUGAUCGGCCACACUGGAACUGAGACACGGUCCAGACUCCUACGGGAGGCAGCAGUAGGGAAUCUUCCGCAAUGGGCGAAGGCCUGACGGAGCACCGCGGCGUGAGGGAUGAAGGUCUUCGGAUCGUAAAACUCUGUUAUUAGGGAAGAACAUAUGUGUAAGUAACAGUGCACAUAGUGACGGUACCUAACCAGAAAGCCACGGCUAACUACGUG
rnacentral:rRNA from 1 species